rnacentral:rRNA from 1 species
UUCCGGUUGAUCCUGCCAGACCUGACUGCUAUCGGAUUGAUACUAAGCCAUGCGAGUCAUUGUAGCAAUACAAGGCAUACGGCUCAGUAACGCGUAGUCAACCUAACCUAUGGACGGGAAUAACCUCGGGAAACUGAGUAUAAUGCCCGAUAGAACAUUAUGCCUGGAAUGGUUUAUGUUCCAAAUGAUUUAUCGCCGUAGGAUGGGACUGCGGCCUAUCAGUUUGUUGGUGAGGUAAUGGCCCACCAAGACUAUUACAGGUACGGGCUCUGAGAGGAGUAGCCCGGAGAUGGGUACUGAGACACGGACCCAGGCCCUAUGGGGCGCAGCAGGCGAGAAAACUUUGCAAUGUGCGAAAGCACGACAAGGUUAAUCCGAGUGGUUUCUGCUAAAGGAACCUUUUGUUAGUCCUAGAAACACUAACGAAUAAGGGGUGGGCAAGUUCUGGUGUCAGCCGCCGCGGUAAAACCAGCACCUCAAGUGGUCAGGAUGAUUAUUGGGCCUAAAGCAUCCGUAGCCGGCUCUGUAAGUUUUCGGUUAAAUCUGUACGCUCAACGUACAGGCUGCCGGGAAUACUGCAGAGCUAGGGAGUGGGAGAGGUAGACGGUACUCGGGAGGAAGGGGUAAAAUCCUUUGAUCUCUCGAUGACCACCUGUGGCGAAGGCGGUCUACCAGAACACGUCCGACGGUGAGGGAUGAAAGCUGGGGGAGCAAACCGGAUUAGAUACCCGGGUAGUCCCAGCUGUAAACUAUGCAAACUCAGUGAUGCAUUGACUUGUGGUCAAUGCAGUGCUGCAGGGAAG